UACGGAGGGUGCAAGCGUUAUCCGGAUUCACUGGUUUAAAGGGUGCGUAGGUGGGCAGGUAAGUCAGUGGUGAAAUCUCUGGGCUUAACCCGGAACUGCCGUUGAUACUAUCUGUCUUGAAUAUAGUGGGAGGUGAGCGGAAUAUGGUCAUGUAGCGGUGAAAUGCUUAGAUAUGACAUAGAACAUCGAUUGCGAAGGCAGCUCGCUACACUAUGAUUGACACUGAGGCACGGAAAGCGUGGGGGAU
rnacentral:rRNA from 1 species